ensembl:lncRNA
GCCCAACUACAAACUUCCUUUGCUUGACUCUUAACACUGAGCUAAGAGUCUAUAUAUACUCAGGCCUCCAGUUCGGGGAAGCCCUUCGCGGCCAAUCAGGGCUUCCCGAUCUAUUGCGUCACACCUCCCCCCUGGGUGUGACGUCAAAGGCAAUCCCAGGCCAGCCACGUGGGUUGGAGGAGCGUUUCUGGGCAGCUGUUCCAGAGACACCCGGCAGCAACGGUCCCGCAAGGGUGGGGAACUGGGCAGGGAGGGGCAGACAGGGCUCCUACGCGCACCUUCUGGGAACACAACUGUGGCAGCUCGCUCGCCCCGGAGGCGCGCAGGUCCCCCCUCCCCGGAUACCGGAAAGUCUCUUCUCUUUUUCGUAUCAAAAAAAGCCCGGUGAAGACUCUGCAGAACCCAGGAAGCGCAGAAUCGGGAGAAAGUCUUUGGCUGGGGCUGGUUCAAGACCCUGCUUCAAUGGGCUGCUGGAAGCCAGGACUGGGGUUCCUCUGAGGUUGGACUUCUUUCGCGCUCGAUAGGCCUUGAAAACUGGGUUCCUGCUCCUUAUUACAUAUCUGGGACAAUAAUGAACAGGUCAAAACAGAAAAGUCGAGUAAACUGGGAGCGAUGCUUUUCAACACGUCGCGCAGGGUGUAGUGUUGGGGGAUGUGAUUUGAGGGCAAGAAUUUUAUUGCAAUACUAGGUAGUCAGCCAGCCCGGUCCCCGGGGGCCGACCUGCAAAGUACUACGCGUUUCCGCCCCCCGACCCCCCCACAGCGGUUACACCUCUGGGAAGCAUUACCUUGCCUGAUGACUUCACACUGCUCGGGGAAACCCACUUACUAAUUCUCCCCUACAAACCUUCAGGGCUUCAGCCUUUGUUUGAACCCUGCCUUAGGUGGUUCAACUCUUGAGAAACUGGCUUAAGUUUCAGAGCACAAUUUCAUCCACUUAAUCAGACUCCUGCUUCUUGAUUUUUAGUUGUACGGUAGUUUUUAAAUGCUAACCUGUAAUUUAAAAUAUAUUGUCUAACUGAUGUACUCUUACAUAUAAUGUGGAUUAAACUGAUUUAGGGGGAGGGUGGACAUCAUGGAGUGUCAAGUGUCUGGCUGUGGGACCCCACAGGGGCACUUAACAUCCACUCUAAACUUCCAUGAAUAUUAUAUGUAAUGCAGGCUUGCUGAUUAUUGCUUAGUAGUGCUUAACUGUUCCUGUGCUAAUGGUUCAAGCAGUGAAAACAUUUAGUAAAACUGUGUUUCUUUAUUAAUCAAAAACACAUUUGUUGUUUGUUCCCUUGAACUUGUAAUUCAUGGCCCAUAAAGCAAAAGCAAAAUAUUUCCUCACUGCGGAUGAAUGUAAAAGCUAAUUACAUAUCCGUGCAUUUCUGUCAGUUUCUCCCCCAUCCCCCAAGAGAAUGGGAAAGAGGCUAGAGGUGAAAGUUUACAUUUAAAUUCAGGGGUGAAGCAGAAUACUGUAUCAAUCAGAUUUUCUUAGGCAGGGCAUCCAGAAUAAGAGAUUGAAUAAAUUCAAAUCCCACCUUUGAUGAGGGAUUGUUUGUGUGUUCCUGGAAGCAUAUUUUACCUCUCUAGACCUUUAUUUCCUAGUUGAUAAAUGGAGAAAAUACCUGCUUUACAAAGUUGUUAUGAUGAUAGAACGUGUGAAACUAUGUUAGGAGAUUAGUAGAGUGCCUAAGCUCUACUCUUAGGUAGAGCUUCCUAAUGUAACUUAGCGUUUCCUAAUUUAACCAUUGUCGCUAUUCAAAAACAUUAGUACCCUUCUCCUGGUUUUCUAUUUGUUAUAUUAUUCUUGAUAGGCAUUAACUGGAGUUUCAUCCUGGGCUCAUUUGUUUGACCUACUUCAGCUUCCUACUGUCCCCUCACUGUCUCUCAUAGAUUGAAUUAUUCUAUGUGCCCAUGAAUACACCCCAAACCUUUACGUUUAACCAAAAUUCCUUUCUGGAUUCCAGGCCUGAAUUACGGCUACUAGCCAUCUAGUAUUGAUUAAUAAGCAUCAUAUUUGGAGACGGGAGAUUCAGUUUCACCAACAAGCUAUAGCUUGUUUCAACCAAUUGAAUAACAUACGAUUGUCAAUUUCAAUUUUACCUUUCUAUUUUAAACAUAAGCUGUUUGGAUCAGAAGAUGACAGAUGUUUCAGGUUUUGACAUCCUAAGACAUACUUCUCCAACCUACGCUUGUUAUGGUUUCAACUAUCCAAGACAACAUAGCGAAGAACUUCAGAGAACAAGAAAAUCCAAAUUCUAUUCCAAGAUUUCAAGUAAGACUGCUUUCAAAUACAGGUGGCUGAAAUCCGUGGGAGGAAAACUUUGAACCAAUUCAGUAAAGUGAGACUUCCUACCUUUAUCCAAGAGAGGUGUUAGCUUCAAGACCCAAUUAGCAGAAUUUCCAUUCCAAUUGCACCUGAGAGCUGGUACUGCCGCUGCCAGUCCGAAAAUGCCAUUAAGAAGUGUGAUUCCGUGCAUUGCAUUAGUCACAUCCUGCCUACCAAGGAUGUCAGGAUAACUGAGGAUGAAAGCAAGCAAGUGCGAUGCUAUUCAAAGGAAUUACAUUUUCCUGAAUUAUAGGAAUGUUCUCGCCCAUAGCGUCUUCUUUCUAGUAUUUUAAAGUUUCAAAGUUCAACUCAGAUCUGUGGGAGUCUGAGAACUUCAUAUGCAAUGGUUCCAUCUAUAUAUUAUACGUAAGCCAAGAACCAGGACGUAUUUUGAGUUUGUUCCUGACUCACCUCUUGCAGAGAACACCUGUUGUUUGUUCACACCGAAUUGGUCAGGCUUCUAAUUAAGCAAUUUGCGAAGUAGCCUCAUUGUUUUGGAAAGCCGAGUGGUUCCAGGAAUCAGAGGUGAAAAGAAAAGACUUCUCAGAGUGUGGACUGAAGGUGGCCUCGGUCACAGUCACCCGGCUACUUUUAGAAAUACAGAUUCUGUGUGUCCAAACCCCAGACCCAUUUCACUAGAAUUUGUAGUGCUGAGUCUGGGAACACACCUGUUUUGAAAGCUUCCUCAGGGAGUUCAUAUGCACUCUGAAUCUUG